rnacentral:rRNA from 1 species
UACGUAGGGUGCGAGCGUUGUCCGGAAUUAUUGGGCGUAAAGCGCACGUAGGCGGAUCGAUCAGUCAGGGGUGAAAUCCCAGAGCUCAACUCUGGAACUGCCUUUGAUACUGUCGAUCUGGAGUAUGGAAGAGGUGAGUGGAAUUCCGAGUGUAGAGGUGAAAUUCGUAGAUAUUCGGAGGAACACCAGUGGCGAAGGCGGCUCACUGGUCCAUUACUGACGCUGAGGUGCGAAAGCGUGGGGAGCAAACAGG